AGCUCCAAUAGCGUAUAUUAAUGUUGUUGCAGUUAAAAAGCUCGUAGUUGAAUUUUUUGCUUGGUGAGCUCGGCCCGAGAACUGUCGACCUUUGGUUGGCUCUUGUGAGCAGAUGCGCAUCAGCAAUCCUUCAGGAACGUAUUUCUGCCCUUGAUUGGGUUGGAGAUAUGUUUGUUUCCUGAUCGUUUACUUUGAAAAAAUUAGAGUGUUCAAAGCAGGCAUGUAAUGCUGUGAAUACAUUAGCAUGGAAUAAUGAGAUAGGACUUGCUGGUUCUAUUUUGUUGGUUUCUAGAACUGGAAGUAAUGAUUGAUAGGGAUAGUUGGGGGUGCUAGUAUUCAACGGCCAGAGGUGAAAUUCUUGGAUUCGUUGAAGACUAACUUAUGCGAAAGCAUUCACCAA
rnacentral:rRNA from 1 species